ensembl:lncRNA
GGGAGGGAGCAGGGGACUUAUCUGAAGUGCUUCCAUCUUAAAGCCAUAAUGAAAAUUUUCUUUCCUCUGUUCCCAUCCUGUUCAAAAUAUACAAAGUGGUUUUCUCCGCCCUCCUCUGGGUAAAUAGGGUUUGUUUUCCACUUGUGUCCUUAUGUCCUUUUACUGCUUAUUGUUAUAGUUCUAACUUAUUGACUUUGCAUGACCUAGUGGUUUGAAUAGUUUUUAGUUCAAGUCAUUGGUAAAAACUAGGUUUAAAAAGUUGAGCUACUAUUUAAAGUGAGCUGUCCGGCCUAAUUAAGUUUUGUGAAAAUUAAGUCCAUCUUUUCAGAUUUGAGGGAUUACACAAACUAACUAUGCAUGUAGAGGACAAGAUUUCUUUUCUUUCCUACCCUUGCCCAGUAACCAUAUCUCGGUUACGCUGGCAGCAAAAACUAAGCAAUUCAAGCACCUGUGUAUCUCAGUGACAAAUGAUCACUUAGGGCUUCCCCCACUGAGUCUCCAGAUCCAGAGUUGAGCAGAUGUUUUUACUGCAGGUUCACCUUCAAUGCAGAAACUGUAUUAUCCUGAAGUGACUUUUAUGUCUUAGUGUACUUUAGGAAGUAAUAAAAGCUGAAUCAGUAUGCUUCCAAACAACUGAAUGUAAAACACUGGUAGCCAGCUGUUGAAUUCUAUGUGCCCCUAUUUACUUCCAGUAUUUUCCUGCAAAAGUAGAGCAAAAUGUUGAUGACUGUUUCAAAUUCUCUUAGGAGCUCUGAUGUUUGAGGGGCUGGUGGUUCCAGCUGUGUGGUUGGUGGCAGUGUUCUUAGGACAGCCCCCCUCAGUGCUUGCUUCAUCUGGGGUGGGUUUUCUGCAGGAAGAGAGGCACAGAUGACCAGGGCUAGAGAACUGAGAAUUAACUAUACUGCUAGCCACUUUAGGACACCCAAACUUGGGACAAAACACUUCCCACUCCGAACCUCUUGAACAGUUGUGCUAUCUGUGACUAGUUUUAUCUUUGUCCUUUUAAUAGGCUGAGCAGCUUCACCUUGUUUACAAAUGUAUUGGCACCGUUUGCUUCAGGCCAAGGAACACUCCUGUUUCCCCGCUUUUUACUAUUUAUAGGAAUCCUUUUUUCACAAAACUUUUAAUAAAAACAAACUGUAGAAAUAAACACAUUAAAAUUUGCCCAGCUGUUGUCUAAGCCCUCUUGAUUGACUUACCCAGGUAGUAAUUGAGUUCUGUAAUAAUAAUAAUUCUGUAAUAAAGAGGGAUUUGCUAUUGGUGAAAAGUGAUGACCCUGUAGGGAAGCAGUAUGAGCCUUUGCCUCUUUGCACACUGAGUUACAGAGGCCCAAAGUGAAGGAAGGUUUGUUCCCAAACUUAGAAUGGAAAAGCAAAUUCUUCAUGAUUUUUCUUAAAAAACAAAAAAGAUGGUACUCAAUAUGAUAUGCCACUGUGCUGUAAAACCUCACAGAGGCAUAAUGCAUUUCUUCCAGGUUGCUAAGUUGUUUUAUGACAGUGUCCCAUUCUGGUGUGAUUUAUUAUACCUUACAGGGAGUUUGAAGCACUUCUUCAUGCUGUUUUGUUUGAAAUUAAGUUCUAGAUAUGCAAAUGAUGACUUCCUUUAAAAUUGUUGACAAGGGUUUUUUUUUUUUUAUAACAGUGAUGAAUGUGUAUUAUCAAUUACAUACCUACCUGUUUUGAAUUACAUUGUAGCAAAAAGUUGACCAGCUUAUAACAAUUGUUGAUGAUGGGUGAUAUUUAAGUUUUAAUACAACCUGGAGUACAUUAAACUAACCUACAGACUCAUUCUAGCAAUAAGACAGUAAUAAAGAAGGAAUUGUUUUUCCAGACUUCAUUAUGAAAAUUUUUCGCAUAUAAGCAAGUUGAAUGAAAAGACCAAGGUGCUUUUCAAAAGAGUAACUGAAAUUAUCACAGGCCAAAACAGCAAUAUAUAUCUAAUUUAGUUCAGUAAGAACAGUGGAACUUUGGUUCACUAAUAGAUUCUGAGUAAAUUAAUGGUGAAAACAAAAUUAACUUGUUUUAGUGAGCCAUUGAGGAAAGACUGUCCUCAACACAAAGACAAAAUAUGCAGAAAAGCCUUGCACCUUUCUGCAUAAACUCUUAGAUAUGAUCAUGUGCUGCUGUUGUGCUUCCUUAUAUUCCUAUAAUAUGUAUGGGUAACAACUGUGGAAAAAAGUUGUCUUCUCCUACAAAGACUAAUGAGCACAAUGAUACUAAUCACUUAACUUUUCUGUUGAAUAACAAAUGCAAUAACUGCCUCUCAUUGAUGAAAGUUUGUCUAAUACUUCUAAAGCUUUUUAAUUCUCUGGUUAUAUCAAUUUAGAGUAUUAUAUAUCUGCCUACUACUUUAUGGGAAUUGAUUUUUUUUUUUAUUAAGUCUGAAUUGCAUGGAUGGAAUUUACACUAACUGCUGUUUACCAGUGAAAAUGAUGAACCAUUUUUUAAAGUAAUGUGUGUUGGUCAACAGGAGUGGGUUAUCUGACCUUUCAACACUAACAGCCUUUACCUUUUCCCAAAACUGACACCUUUUAUUCCUUCUGCAUUGUCCCCUUGUAGGUGCAUUAGUCUAGGCAUCUCAGGAGGAUUCUCAUCACUGAUCUAUUCCAAAUAGUAGAAUCUUGUGCUCUAGUUCUGCUCACCGAAGAAGCAAUAGUGUGUCUUUAAUUCAGGACUCUGCCCAUUACUAUUCAACUCUAACCUGAAGGCAGGGCUACUCUUGUAACUCUCCUGUUCUGAAUUCAGAACUUCCCAUCACACACAGAAGCUGACCAUUGAUUCUUACAGUACAAUGAGUGUCAAAGAAGGAAAUCAUUUGUUAAGCCCCAUAUAGAUAAUGAAUCUUCUGAUCCAGGGAUAUUUACAUUUCUAGAUUAAAAUCUGUACUUAUGGAAAAUAAAGGCAUUUUGAAAUUGUUUAGAAGUAACCUUAUUUGAUUAUUGCAAAAUGGAGAAGGAAAAUAUUACUUGCUAUAAUGUCUGUAUUUGAAUUACUGUAAAAGGUUCACAGUCUGUAUGGUAAGAUUAUGUUGCAGUAAAAAACUGGGGGUCUUCUGGAGAUUCUAAAGUCCAAGUAAUAAUAUAAACUGAAUAGUUUAUUUCCCUGUGUGUAAUCUUUGACACAGCCUGAUUGAAAACACAUCUGAAAUUAUCUAACAUGCAACCAUACUAUUUGCUGCACCAAAAAUACUGCUUUUAUAUUUAACCUAAGGAAAAUAAGCUAGUGCAGAAAAGAAAAACAACUUUCAUUCUUGGAGGAAAGAAUCUUUGGACUUAAAUAUUUUCUUUUCUUUGCUUUUUCUGUAAAACUUGUUUCACUACUUUGGAUUGGCAGCAUUGUAGGCACCUGUGGGGAGGGGAUAGUGACCUUUCCUUCCUACCACCACCCCCAAAGUUGUAUUGAAGUGUUAAAAUAUCACUACAACCAUUUUUAAUAUAUACCAAACAAUUUGCCUUAGUUUCAUUAGCAUUUAGGAUAUUGAAAUUAAAUAGCCUGGUUUACAAAUAGUUGGAAACCUAACCUAAAAUUAGUAUACCUAUUUUUAAUGUGUACUGAACCAUCUCAACUGCAUUAUAAUCUUUAAGGAAUUAGUCUCUGGACAUUUAUUUUUAAUAAGAAGUCCCAGUAACAGCUGAAACAUCUAUAAUAUUAAUAAAGCAUAUUGACUAAAAGAGAGCAGAUGUAUUAGCUUUAUAUGCUUUAUUUCUUGGGCAGAGUAAAAAAAAUGAGACACCUGUGAAAAGUAUCCUGAAUGUUUCAAGCAGAGUAAAAUAUGAUUAAAGAUUGACCUAACAUGUUGAAAUCAAGGAGUAAAACCCAGAAAGUUGGCUCUGAAAAAAUACCAAGGUAUAUUCCUUAUGGUAUGGUAAAUGCCAGGUCACCAAACCUACAUCAAGGCAAAAGUGACUAUGUAAUCAAUUUAACUAUCAAAAUGUCUUUCAUCUUAUUAAAAAAAGAGUUUGGUCUGUUGCUUUGUAAAUGAUUGUUUACCUUGUCUUGAUUGAAGGUGCUCUAAAAUUAAAAUUUGGCAAGACAGUUAUAAAUCACAUAGAACUUAGAUGUAUUUAUGGCUUCCCUGGUGGCUCAGGUUAUAAAGAAUCUGCCUGCAACGCGGGAGACCUGGAUUUGAUCCCUGGGUCAGAAAAGUCCCCUGGAAUGACACCCCACUCCAGUAUUGUUGCCUUGAGAAUCCCAUGGACAGGAGCCUGGCAGGCUACAGUCUAUGCAAUGGCAAAGAGUCCCAUCAGACUGAGCAACUAACAUUUCAUUUUCAUUUAGGUUUAUUUUUUAAAGAUGUUUUAGUAGAGUAUUAUUAAAAACCAUUAUCAAAAUGGCAUUGUUAUAUAUACAAAACUUCUUUAACAAAAUUGGCCAAGCAAGGAUGAUACUAUGCCAACAAACUAGGAAAUAAUGAAUCUAAUGGGAUGACACCAGUCACUUAGAAUGAUCUGACACUGGAGUUUAGAAAGUUCCAUUUAGUAGUUAUGAGAGGUAUUGUGAAUCUUUGAAAUAAGGACAGGGAAGAAAUAAGGGUUACUUAUCCCCACAAAUCAGAUUUCAAAUUCUAGUGCUGCUGUGCUGUCAAGGGCCAAAAAAGUUUCCCUGAGUAGCAGCCACUGUGUGCUGUUCUAAAAUACAAGCCAUCUAUUAUCAGCCAUGUCUUAGUAACAGACGACGCAGUUUUCAGAUGAUGUAUCUAGACAGUGGGCAUUCCAAUGUGUUACACUUGUGUAAGGAUCCAGAGGCAGUGAGUGAAGGAAAUUCUAGUGCUGCUGUGCUGGUAAGGGCCAAAAAAGAGUUUCCCUGAGUAGCAGCCACUAUGUGCUGUUCUAAAAUACAAGCCAUCUAUUAUCAGCCAUGUCUUAGUAACAGACGACACGGUUUUCAGAUGAUGUAUCUAGACAGUGGGCAUUCCAAUGUGUUACACACUUGUGUAAGGAUCCAGAGGCAGUGAGUGAAGUUAAAUAUUAUUCAGGUCCAGUUAUAAAGUAAAAAAGAUAACAAAGACAAUCUGUAUUGUAUUAUAGAUAGAUAUUGUCUGGGGGAGGGGGUUUCAGUUAAUUUAUACUUUAAAAUCACUACAAAAGGCUUGUACUAAAAUGACCCCUAGAGUAUUGUUCUGCAAAGCAUUAUCCAACGAAGGGCCAUAUUUUCCUAUUUGAUUCAGAUUGUCUUUUGAGAUUUUAAGGCUGGUGUACACCUGUACAUCAACUAAAAAGCUGGGUAUUUGUCUCUAGACCCACCAGACCUAUGGCAGAGAAUGAUCCUUCAAAAUGGGUGUAAUCGGGGAGACGUCUGGAGAGAAAUGAGUCCUGGGGUAAUUCCUUUGGUAACCCAUUAAUACUGUCAUCAGCAGUGUCUGAGUGCAUUUUUGAUCAGAAGAGGCGAUAGCACUUUUCAAAAAGUUUUCUGUGGUCAUGAGACUAAUCCUGGAACCUGAAAGUCAUUUCCAGCUUGACCACGCCACCACACUUUCCACAAAGCCACAUCUCGUCUGAGUUCCAGGCUCUGGUCAGGGUUCUGAAAGCAGUUGCAAAUGUGUAGUCUCCGAGUGGGCACUUGUUUGUAAGUAUUUAUUUUCCGGAGCCCACUCAGGAGCAGAGAGAAGCUAUAGGCUGUUACAGAGGACGGAACAAUGAGUCAAAACAACGCCUCCCCACUUUUACACUAAUGCAUGGGGGAAAUCCCCGAAUGCCAGCGAAUGCUCGUGUUUGAUUAUGAAUGGAGAUUGCUUUGCAGCAAGAGGGCCGAUGUGGAGACUAGCAAA